rnacentral:rRNA from 1 species
ACAAAGGGCAGCAAGUUCGCGAGGACAAGCAAAUCCCAUAAACCGUGGCUCAGUUCAGAUCGUAGGCUGCAACUCGCCUACGUGAAGGGGGAAUCGCUAGUAAUCGCAGGUCAGCAUACUGCGGUGAAUACGUUCCCGGGCCUUGUACACACCGCCCGUCACACCAUGGAAGUUGGCCACGCCCGAAGCCGUUACUCCAACCCUUGUGGAGGAGGACGUCGAAGGUGGGGCUGAUGACUGGGGUGAAGUCGUAACAAGGUAUCCGUACCGGAAGGUGCGGAUGGAUCACCUCCUAAC